AAGACCCUGUCUCCAAAAAAAAAUUGGGAAUGAUAUAGAGAAGAGUGGUAUGGCCCUGCAAAAAGAUGAUGCACAAGUUUGGGGAGCAUUCCACAUUUAU
ensembl:snRNA U6 U6 spliceosomal RNA